rnacentral:rRNA from 1 species
GAUGAACGCUAGCGAUAGGCUUAACACAUGCCAGUCGAGGGGCAGCACAAGGUAGCUUGCUAUCUGGGUGGCGACCGGCGCACGGGUGCGUAACGCGUAUGCAACUUGCCCUAUACAGGAGGAUAACCCGUCGAAAGACGGACUAAUACUGCGUAUGCUCACAACUUGGCAUCAAGUGGUGAGGAAAGAAAUUCGGUAUAGGAUAGGCAUGCGUCCCAUUAGCUUGUUGGUGAGGUAACGGCUCACCAAGGCAACGAUGGGUAGGGGAACUGAGAGGUUUAUCCCCCACACUGGUACUGAGACACGGACCAGACGCCUACGGGAGGCAGCAGUGAGGAAUAUUGGUCAAUGGGCGCGAGCCUGAACCAGCCAAGUCGCGUGAAGGAUGACUGUCUUAUGGAUUGUAAACUUCUUUUAUACGGGAAUAACAAGAGUCACGUGUGACUCCCUGAAUGUACCGUAUGAAUAAGCAUCGGCUAACUCCGUG